GGGGCAGUGGGAGCUGGAGGCGACGUCCGGCAGCGGCUGGUGGUGAGGGUGGACGGUCAGUGACAGAGGUCUGGACGCCGGGUCUGAGGAGGAGCCGCAGCUCUGGACCAGGAGCAGGACGGUCCAGCUCAGCAGAGAAGUUUGGAAGCUGCAAAGUUCAGCUCAGCUCACAGUCCACCUGCGAAAAAACGGAGGGGAAAAAAAAAGCUGUAAAGAAACGAGAGGGAGACGAGGACAAAAAAAGAGAGAAAAAAGAAAAAACACAACGCCGAGAGAGAAAAUGAGUAAUCCUUAUCUUUUUUGUCAGGGACAGAUGGCUGGAAAAUGUGGAGGCGUCACAAGAAAGAAAGAAAGAAGAAAACAAAACAAGAAGAAGAAGAAAAAACUCUCGGAUGUGAUGAAUGGAUGAUGGAAAAGCGGAGAAGGAAAACUCUGGCGUGCAGGAGGAUCCUUGUUCCCGGGGUGAAGCCGCUGCAGAGUGUGUGUUCAGAGUGUGUGUGUGUGUUAAAGAGGCAGUUUGACUAAGUUAUCCCAGACGAAGGAGUUCCUCCCUCUCUCUUUUUUUUUACCUCUUUUCCUCUCUCUCUCUCUCUCUCUGUGUUGAAUGCCUUCCCUCGCUCACCAGUUGAAUGGUUUUACCGGAGUGGGCUGGACUCUCUCUCUCUCCUCUCUCUCGCACUGGCAGCCUCCUACCAUAAUUAUACCUCCCUCCCUCCUCCCUCAUCCCUCUCUCUCCUCCCAUCUCGCUUUGUGACUCAUAACUUUUGCCUCCUUCUCUUUCUUUAUUUAUUUCUUCCCUCCCUCUGUUUGGCUGUUAAUGGAGCAAAGCUGGGAUUCCUUUAGCCCUCCCUCCCCCCUCGGCGGUGAAUGAGUUACGUGUUGAAGGGAAAAUUCUUGGAUGACUUGGAUUUAGCCUGUGACUCUCCUGUCCAUCUGUCUGACUACCUAUCAGUCAGUCAGUCUGUCUGACAGUCUGGAUUUGUGUAGUCUGGUUGCCGUUCAGCUCCUGUCAACAUGACAUCAUGGUUCAUGACUGUGCGGUCUCGCCAUGUUGCAUUGUGAGUAGGGGAUUCCUGCACAGGUCGCCGAUUCAGAUAACAGCUAUCUCUUGUUUUCGUCUUUGUUUUCUUUGUUUUGCUGACCUUGUUCAGCUCUUUAUCUUUGUGAUAAACAUUUUUGAGCUUUGGGCGUUCAUUCUCUCUCAAUAGAGAACCCACAUGAAACCAGAACGUCCAGGUUCUCUUCCAGAAGUAAGAUGACCUUUGUAACAAACGAUAAUUACAAAAAACAGUAUGUUGUUCUGACUUGGUUCAUACACACAAUCUACUAUUAUUGUAAAAUUAACGGCCUUUAACAAACACCAUGUCCCUCAAGCCCUGGACCUAAACACUCAAUAAAAGGACAGACACGG